AUGAAUUUGAAAUGAAGGCUUUGAAAGACAGCGUCUAACUCAGACAUGGACUAAUAAUCAUGUAAUCGAUAAAGGACCUCACAAAUGGGAUCCUAACAGGUUUAAAGACUUUCAUAAGAAGUUUCAAAAAUUACACUGUGAGAAUUUCAUUAAUUUGAAUACUAUCUCAUUCUGCUGUCUUUGCUCUGCAUUUGUGAAGGGAAGGCAUUUCAUGGAUGACUUUGGCAUUCAUCAUAAUGAGAACAACUUCCAUGGUGAAUACUAACCGGAAGAAUUGUGUGCUUUUUAAUGGUUUGGAACAUCACUCCUGGCAGCACCUUGGAGACUUAUUUUUUAACUAAUUUAUGCUCACGGGGUCUGGACUUCAAGAGCAUGUGUCCAUUCAAACCACUUACACACUUUAAUACAAUCUCUAUAAUAGAAGUUAUUCAUGUGGUUAUUUGAAGCCUGGUGGUAUAAUCCUCUCAUAUGAUAGUGUACUUUUGUGAGUUAGAAGUCAACAUUAAAA
rnacentral:lncRNA from 1 species